rnacentral:rRNA from 1 species
AUUGAACGCUGGCGGCAUGCCUUACACAUGCAAGUCGAACGGUAACAGGUUAAGCUGACGAGUGGCGAACGGGUGAGUAAUAUAUCGGAACGUGCCCAGUCGUGGGGGAUAACGUAGCGAAAGCUACGCUAAUACCGCAUACGAUCUACGGAUGAAAGCGGGGGAUCGCAAGACCUCGCGCGAUUGGAGCGGCCGAUAUCAGAUUAGGUUGUUGGUGAGGUAAAAGCUCACCAAGCCUGCGAUCUGGAGCUGGUCUGAGAGGACGACCAGCCACACUGGAAGUGAGACACGGGCCAGACUCCUACGGGAGGCAGCAGUGGGGAAUUUUGGACAAUGGACGCAAGUCUGAUCCAGCAAUGCCGCGUGCAGGACGAAGGCCUUCGGGUUGUAAACUGCUUUUGUACGGAACGAAACGGUGAGCUCUAAUACAGUUUGCUAAUGACGGUACCGUAAGAAUAAGCACCGGCUAACUACGUGCCAGCCGCCGCAGUAA